GGCUGUGGGGACGCAUUCGGGCAUUGUAAGGCCUCUCCCCCAAUCCGAUCUCAAGAUAAUCGGACUUUCAUUUUAUUUAUGUUAGGAUAAGGUUCUCCUUCCGUUCCUAACAUAACCUUGUUUUAAUUGUUUGAAGGGGUUAUCCCCAGUCGUAACAAAUUCAUGCCAAAUGGGAGGAACAUGCAAAGUCGAAAGAAAUUUAGAUUCAGGGCAAGGUCAUAAGCGAUACAUUUACAGGUUUCUCGAGUUCCAUG
rnacentral:lncRNA from 1 species